UACGGGGGGGGCAAGCGUUGUUCGGAAUUACUGGGCGUAAAGGGCUCGUAGGCGGCCAACUAAGUCAGACGUGAAAUCCCUCGGCUUAACCGGGGAACUGCGUCUGAUACUGGAUGGCUUGAGAUUGGGAGAGGGAUGCGGAAUUCCAGGUGUAGCGGUGAAAUGCGUAGAUAUCUGGAGGAACACCGGUGGCGAAGGCGGCAUCCUGGACCAACACUGACGCUGAGGGACGAAAGCGUGGGGAGCAAACAGG
rnacentral:rRNA from 1 species